UUUGAGUUUGAUCCUGGCUCAGGACGAACGCUGGCGGCGUGCUUAACACAUGCAAGUCGAGCGGUAAGGCCCUUCGGGGUACACGAGCGGCGAACGGGUGAGUAACACGUGAGCAACCUGCCCCCGACUCCGGGAUAAGCGGUGGAAACGCCGUCUAAUACCGGAUACGACCCAUGGUCUCCUGGCCGUGGGUGGAAAGUUUCUCGGUUGGGGAUGGGCUCGCGGCCUAUCAGCUAGUUGGUGGGGUAACAGCCUACCAAGGCGAUUACGGGUAGCCGGCCUGAGAGGGCGACCGGCCACACUGGGACUGAGACACGGCCCAGACUCCUACGGGAGGCAGCAGUGGGGAAUAUUGCGCAAUGGGCGAAAGCCUGACGCAGCGACGCCGCGUGGGGGAUGACGGCCUUCGGGUUGUAAACCUCUUUUACCACCAACGCAGGCUCCCAGUACUCUGGGGGUUGACGGUAGGUGGGGAAUAAGGACCGGCUAACUACGUGCCAGCAGCCGCGGUAAUACGUAGGGUCCGAGCGUUGUCCGGAAUUAUUGGGCGUAAAGAGCUCGUAGGCGGCGUGUCGCGUCUGCUGUGAAAGACCGGGGCUUAACCCCGGUUCUGCAGUGGAUACGGGCAUGCUAGAGGUAGGUAGGGGAGACUGAAAUUCCUGGUGUAGCGGUGAAAUGCGCAAAUAUCAGGAGGAACACCGGUGGCAAAGGGGGUUCUCUGGGCCCUACCUGACGCUGAGGAGCGAAAGCAUGGGGAGCGAACAGAAUUAAAUACCUUGGUAGUCCAUGCCGUAAACGUUUGGCGCUAGGUGUGGGGACUUUCCUCGGUUUCCGCGCCGUAGCUAACGCAUUAAGCGCCCCGCCUGGGGAGUACGGCCGCAAGGCUAAAACUC
rnacentral:rRNA from 1 species